UUUAUUAUACUAAAUAUAUAAUCCAAGAUCAAGAAAAUUACAAUUUAUUUUUCAUUCUGUAUUUUAUCUAGUGUCCUUGGAUUUUUAUUCCCUCAUGAACUAAACCUUGCUUCCCAAAUGUACUGGAAGAAAUUACCAUUCAGUAAUUUCAAUACCAGAGUUACUAAAGAGAAGGAAAUGCUUUUGUGUCUGGAUAAUAAAUGCUGACCAUUUUGGUCUAAACGUUCAAUCAGAUGUGAAGUCUCUGAGAAGUGAUGCCUCAAGGUGAAGGUGCAUAAACUGUGCUCAUAAAUGAUGAGGUCAUAAGUCUAUCACCUACCCUUAUCGCUAGUUAUGCAGGCAUGGAGAUGUCAUUGACAACAGCUCUGGCUUGUCACUUUGUGGCAGGGAUUGAUUUCUGAAAACAUGACAGAAGAGACUAAUGGUUCAAGUGCAACUCAUUGGCUGCAAGGUUCCCCAGUAUGGGGCAUGUGCAAAUAGCAUAGGAUGAUAGACAAGAUCAGCAGCACCAAUGGGUUGGAGACAGCUCUAGCCCGAAUGUCCAACUGUAUAUGUGCUACAGAGGAAGAGCUAGAGAAGUUAUGGAGAUCUUUAACAGAUGCCAGAAAAAAGUUGGAUUAUACACACAAGGAACAACACCACCCAGGAGAAAGAGGCAGAAAAAUAUGAAUCUCAAGACCAUCCUAUGGAUUUCUCUGGACAGUCUGAAUCCAUAUCAGAGGAAAGGUGAUAUAUGUUCUGUGCUGUUGUAUGCUAGAUAGAAGCAAAAGGAUUAUUAAAGUUUAAAGACAGCCCAGGCAUGAGACAUUAUCUCACAACUUUCAAAUA
rnacentral:sRNA from 1 species